GUGCAAAGGUAGCACAAUCACUUGUCCCCUAAAUGAGGACCCGUAUGAAAGGCAACAUGAGAGAAAACCUGUCUCCUAAGGUCCGCCAAUGAAAUUGAUUUAUCAGUACAAAAGCUGAUAUAACAAAGCAAGACAAAAAGACCCUAUGGAACUUUAACAAAUUGAUUAUAGACAAUAAACAAUAGUUUCAGUUGGGAUAACUUUAGAAAAAAUAAACCUCUAACACCAUCUAGACCAACUAGUCUUGACGCACUAACGCACGACCCAGUAAUACUGAUUAACGAAACAAGCUACCCUAGGGAUAACAGCGCUACCUUCUCAAAGAGUCCAUAUCAACAAGAAGAUCUACGACCUCGAUGUUGGAUCAGGGUACCCAGACGGUGUAGCAGCUGUCAACGGUUCGUUUGUUCAACGACUAAC
rnacentral:rRNA from 1 species